CAAUAGCGUAUAUUAAAGUUGUUGCAGUUAAAAAGCUCGUAGUUGGAUUUCUGGUUGAAGCGACCGGUCGGGCGUUGAUUCGUCUGCACUGGAGUCGGUUUUGGCCAUCCUCUAGGAAAGUGCGUCUGGUAUUAAGUUAUCGGGCGUAUGAUCCUGGUCUUUUACUGUGAAAAAAUUAGAGUGUUUAAAGCAGGCCUUCGCCUUGAAUACAUUAGCAUGGAAUAAUAAGAUAGGACUUUGGUCUAUUUUGUUGGUUUACAGACCGAAGUAAUGAUUAAUAGGGAUAGUUGGGGGUAUUUAUAUUCCGAUGUCAGAGGUGAAAUUCUUAGAUUUUCGGAAGAUAAACUUAUGCGAAAGCAUUUACCAAGGAUGUUUUCAUUAA
rnacentral:rRNA from 1 species